AGAACUAUGUCUCUCUCUGGUCAGAGGAAAUGUGAUUACCACAGCCACCUACCCCCAGUACAGUGGUAAUUCUGCUUGACCAAGAGCAGAAACAGGGCAGGAUGCUGGUCUGCUGCCUGUAGGAGUGUCACGGGACUGAUGUUCAGACUCAGUAGCUGUAGGAAUCUCACCUGUCCACCUGUUUCCCAGGCUCUGCCAUGGAGCAGGUACACAAGAAGCACACACCAGAGCUAAGGAGGGAGGCUAAAAAUGUCAGCAGAAACUGCAACUCAUCAAGAUGAUAGCAGUUAAUGCCCCAACAGAAUGGACAGAAGAGAAAGAAUCUGAUAAGGUGUCAGAGGGCCCCAGACCAAAAAUCACCACUGAACUAAAAAGGAAAUACAGGGUUGAGCCUGAAGAAAGAGGAAUCCCAUGUGAGCACGAGGGAGUCAGGAGUCAGAGGGGGCUGCUAUUGGCUCAUUGGAACCACCUGCAGUGAAGGGUCUCAGGCCCCAGCAGCUGCAGUCUUGAGUGAUGCUGCAGCUCCCUGACUUGUGUAAUGUUGGAGCUGUGUCUUCUCCCUUAAGGUUGCCCUCCUGCAUUAUUUCAUUAUAAAUUCUGGUAUGAAUAAUGGUACGUAGCCAGAAAAAUGCAGCACAUUUAAACUGAGUCCUACAUAUAAGUGAAUGUAAAGUUUGUAUAUUUAGAGUCUCCACAUUUUUUCUUCCACAAGUUAGAUGGCAGAUUUAAGAGAGAGCAGGCUAAAGAUCUAAAGCAGGAAAAUGAACCAUGAUCUGAAAAAAAAAGAGGGAUAGAAGGAGGCAGAGGAAAGGAAGGGAAUCCUGCUGCAUCUGUGUAAUAAGGUGUUUACAGCCUUUUUUUUGUGAAACAAAUUUCACUGCAAAUCAAAAUCCCUGUUACUCACAUUGAAGGCAAAGGAAAUUUCAUUUCAACUUUGAUUCAAUGAAACACCCACUUUCAAGCAUACUAGUUCUGGUUCAGUAAAACACAUGGAGGUAAAGAUAACUCAAUGUAAACAUCCAUUUGAACCCUGCUGGCUUCAGUGAGAAGUUAGUUUGCUUUGGAAUUGUUAAAUUUGAUGACUCACAUAAUACUGGUAGAAAUCUCUACAUCUCUUCAGUGUUUAAUAUUUGGAAAUUUAGCCCAUAUUUUGAAUGAUAUUUAGAAUAACUGAAGUCAACAGAAUGCCCUGUGCACACCUAAUCUUCAGUGGCUUAAUAUUGUGAAUAAAAGUGAGUACUCUUCUAGAGAGACACUAGUUCAUUAUUAGAAAGAUAUACUACAGAUCAGAGUUGUCUUCAAAGAUGCAGUAAUUUUUUCAUAGAUUUUAAUACUCAGUUUUACAGUCCAUAUUCUGAAAAGUACACCAUUAUGUAGCGUUAUUUUGUGGAUGGAAAAUAUGGGAUGUAUAU